rnacentral:lncRNA from 1 species
CACAUGCGCGGCAGCUCCCGCUGCUGAAUAGCUGAGAGGCGCACCCGGGCGGCCAGCUGGGCUCGGAGUGCAGCGGGGUUAGGAUGGACGAGGACGUGUUGCACCCUGAAGAGCCUCAUCAUCGGUGAGAGUGGGGUGGGCAAGUCCAGCCUGCUCUUGAGGUUCACAGAUGAUACCUUUGAUCCAGAACUUGCAGCAACAAUAGACAAUGCAGGAAUCACAUGAACCUGUCCAUCCACAGAUAAAGUGGUAAAGAAACUGCCGUAUUAGAUACAUGAUGGUAUACUCUUCAGCCAUAAAGCUUCGGGAAACCCUGUCAUCCGCAACCACGUGGAGAAACCUGUCCAUCCACAGAUGAAGGGAUCAGGAAGCUCUGCACCGGAAGCAGUACUCAGAACAAGUCAUACCUAAUGCUGCAGGAAACAUUUCCAAACGUGUAUGAAGAUACAU